rnacentral:lncRNA from 1 species
CCCCCGUGAAGCAACCCAUAACCCCCCCCUUAAGUGACCCACGAGUUGGGGGGGGGGAUGAAGGGGGACCCAUAACCCCCCCAUAACCCCCCCCCAUUACACGACCCACAAGUUGGGAUGGGGGGACGAAGGGGGACCCAUAACCCCCCCAUAACCCCAUAACCCCCCCCGUGAAGCGACCCACAAGUUGGGAUGGGGGGAUGAUGGGGGGGUGGGGGAUGAUGGGGGGUGGGGGGUGGGGGGGGGUGGGGGAUUGGGGGGGGGAUUGGUUGGGUUGAGGCAAUGGGGGAAGGCCAUAGGGAUCCCUGCUUGUCCCCAUAGCUGCCCCAUGGGGUCUUGGGUUGGGUUGAGGCAAUGGAGAAGGCCCAUCAGCAAUGGGGGAAGGCCAUAGGGAUCCCUGCUUGUCCCCAUAGCUGCCCUAUAGCUGCCCCAUGGGUGCCCCAUGGCCAACGUUGGGUCAACCCAAUGGGGGAAGGCCAUCAGUCCCAUUGUUUAUCUGUUAAGGAGAGCCCAUAGCGGCCCCUGGUUGUCUUUGAGGUGUCCCCAUAGCACCCAUAGCUGCCCCAUGGCCCUCGUUGGGUCUUGGGUUGGGUUGAGGCAAUGGGGGAAGACCAUCAGUCCUAUUGUUUGUGUGUUGAUGGAACCCCAUAGUGAUCCCUGGUUGUCCCCAUAGCUGCCCCAUAGCUGCCCUAUAGCAUCUCUCUGUGCCCCAUAGCUGCCCCAUGGCCAACGUUGGGUCAACCCAAUGGGGGAAGGCCAUCAAUCCUAUUGUUUGUGUGUUGACGAAACCCCAUAGCAACCCCUGGUUGUCCCCAUAGCUGCCCCAUAGCAUCUCUCUGUGCCCCAUAGCAUCCCUGUGUGCCCCACAGCUGCCCCAUGGCCAAUGUUGGGUCGAGUCAAUGGGGGAAGGCCAUCAGUCCUAUUGUUUGUGUGUUGAUGAAACCCCAUAGCGACCCCUGGUUGUCCCCAUAGCACCCAUGGGUGCCCCCUAGUGCCCCUGUGUGCCCCAUAGCACCCCUGUGUGCCCCACAGAAGCCCCCCUCCCCCAUCCCCCACCCCCCCCCCCCAAUAAAGUGCUUUAAUCCGUUUCCAUGGGUUCUGUGUGUGGCUCUAUGGGGGGGGGGGAGGGGGGUGAGACCAUAGAGAGGUGGGGGAAGAGGUGCCAGAGUGGCUCUGCGGCCAUAGAGACUGAAGGUGUCGGCCUAGAGUGUCCCGUGGGCCUAUGGAGGUAUGCCACGCUGGCAGCCAUAGAGUGUUGGAGGACUGUUCUCCUAGAGCGCCCCAGUGCGGG